rnacentral:rRNA from 1 species
UGCCAGACUCCUACGGGAGGCAGCGGUGGGGAAUAUUGGGCAAUGGGCGCAAGCCUGGCCCAGCAACGCCGCGUGAAGGAAGAAGGCUUUCGGGUUGUAAACUUCUUUUAAGAGGGAAGAGCAGAAGACGGUACCUCUUGAAUAAGCCACGGCUAACUACGUGCCAGCAGCCGCGGUAAUACGUAGGUGGCAAGCGUUGUCCGGAUUUACUGGGUGUAAAGGGCGUGUAGCCGGGCUGACAAGUCAGAUGUGAAAUCCACGGACUCAACCCGUGAACUGCAUUUGAAACUGUUUCCCUUGAGUGUCGGAGAGGUAAUCGGAAUUCCUUGUGUAGCGGUGAAAUGCGUAGAUAUAAGGAGGAACACCGGUGGCGAAGGCGGCCUGCUGGACUGCGACUGACGUUGAGGCCCGAAAGCGUGGGGAGCAAACAGGAUUAGAUACCCUAGUAUC